UACUACUACCAUAAAGGCAUAAAGCCCUACAAGAAUAUAUGGAUUGAAGAAAAAAUAUAAAAAUAAAUUAGAUACGAAAAAGCAGAUGCAUCGGGCUAUUUAUUAUUCCUAUAAUUAGGCAUGGCCUAAGGCUAGGCUAGGGCCUAAAAAAUAAAUGACAUACUGUACCCAAGUUAGUAAAUAUUCAUUGACUUUACUUUUUCAGAUUAUUAACGUUCAAUAGUACUCUACCCACUACAAAUGCAAGUUCCGGAAUCAACUCUAUCCAACAGCUUUUUGCAUAUGGACAACAAACACCAGGAGCAAUACCCAUUGUUGUAGGUUUUCAAGAUAAGCUGAUUUGUACUGUAGCACCAUUGACCACAUCAGCAGAUUAAGAAUCAGCAACAAAAAAGAUCAAAAGAUGGGAUGAAGAAAUGGACAAUGAUUUAGUGAAAGAGAUGCUCAAUUCAAAUAUUUUUAGCUACAAAUAUAAUUCGAAGAGCCGAGGUUUGCGAUUAAUCCAUUCGGGGCGACAACAGACUGAAAUUUAUUACCAUGAAUUCUUUUAUGCCCAUUUUACAUAAUUCUUUGCGACUGUACAGGUCUACAAACGGGUAGAACGGUCCCAUUACAAAAUUCUUGAAGCUUAUCUGGAGCAAGUCAUGGCUGUUGGAGAGUUUCCAAAAGAUGGCUACAAUUGUCGUAAAUAAUGAUGUCCACGAUUUUGCACGUUGCCUAAAACAACUCUGUUAUGACCGACCGAAGUUUGGAACCAUGUCUGCAUAUCGACAUGAUACGCAAAACGAUAAAAAAAA